rnacentral:sRNA from 1 species
AUCCUCUUAUAUAUAAAAUUUAUUAGGCAUCUGAUUUUUAAAAAUUACAUUUCACUAUAUCGUUAUAGCUGCCAAUGGCUCUAAUGAAGAUAGAGGAGAGGUUGCAGAUGAAGAUAAGAGAAUUAUAACUGAUGAUGAGAUAAUAAGCUUAUCCAUUGAAUUCUUUGACCAGAACAGGUAAAAUCUUUAGGCAAUCUAUUUUAUGCUAAUGUUUUAUUAGAUUGUUUCACUAAUAAAUUUUCUCUUUCUUAGAUUGGAUCGGAAAGUAAACAAAGACAAAGAGAAAUCUAAGGAGGAGGUGAAUGAUAAAAGAUACUUACGAUGCCCAGCAGCAAUGACUGUGAUGCACUUAAGAAAGUUUCUCAGAAGUAAAAUGGACAUACCUAAUACUUUCCAGAUUGAUGUCAUGUAUGAGGAGGAACCUUUAAAGGAUUAUUAUA